rnacentral:rRNA from 1 species
AUUGAACGCUGGCGGCAGGCCUAACACAUGAAAGUCGAGCGGAUGAAGGGAGCUUGCUCCUGGAUUCAGCGGCGGACGGGUGAGUAAUGCCUAGGAAUCUGCCUGGUAGUGGGGGAUAACGUCCGGAAACGGGCGCUAAUACCGCAUACGUCCUGAGGGAGAAAGUGGGGGAUCUUCGGACCUCACGCUAUCAGAUGAGCCUAGGUCGGAUUAGCUAGUUGGUGGGGUAAAGGCCUACCAAGGCGACGAUCCGUAACUGGUCUGAGAGGAUGAUCAGUCACACUGGAACUGAGACACGGUCCAGACUCCUACGGGAGGCAGCAGUGGGGAAUAUUGGACAAUGGGCGAAAGCCUGAUCCAGCCAUGCCGCGUGUGUGAAGAAGGUCUUCGGAUUGUAAAGCACUUUAAGUUGGGAGGAAGGGCAGUAAGUUAAUACCUUGCUGUUUUGACGUUACCAACAGAAUAAGCACCGGCUAACUUCGUG